AGCAGUUGGAGCCAAGCCAACUGUUGGACUGGGCAAAAAGGCUUUUGGCUUCUGGCUGAUGGUGGUGACUGAAGCUGAAGGCUUUUGGCUGGCUGGCUGGGAUGAAAGAAAGAAGAUUGUUGUAUCUCUGGGACCAACAACAAUAAUUCACAUUUCUGAAGCAAAGGAGAACCAGAAUGGACACUCACCAAUUGAGAAAUGGCUAAACAAGUUACAAUACAUUAAUGUGAUAUAAUAUUGCAUAGUGGAAAAUGAUGACUAUAAAGAUGGAGAAGCACAAGAAGACUUCUUUGAAUUGAUGCAAAGUAAGCAGAACCAAGAAACACACAAAGUGACAAUAAUGUAAAUGGAAAAAAAACAAUGCCAAGGUGAAACUGAAGGCUAUAUAAUUAGUAUGACCAAAGAAAAGUAUGAAAAUUCAACUUCCUCUCAUCUUUGCAGAAGCUGAGCACUGCCAGUAUAGAACACAGCCUAUGAUCUCAGACUUGCUGAACUUUUUCCCCCUUUCUUUUUUGUUCCUCAUUAUAAGGGAUGACCCUCUGGGUGGAGGAGGCAAAGGAAUAUAUAUUGUGAAAUGUA